GACAGAGGGUGCAAACGUUGUUCGGAAUUACUGGGCGUAAAGCGCGUGUAGGCGGCCAAGCAAGUCGGAUGUGAAAGCCCUCGGCUCAACCGGGGAAGUGCACUCGAAACUGCAGAGCUUGAGUGCCGGAGAGGGUGGCGGAAUUCCCCAAGUAGAGGUGAAAUUCGUAGAUAUGGGGAGGAACACCGGUGGCGAAGGCGGCCACCUGGACGGUAACUGACGCUGAGACGCGAAAGCGUGGGUAGCAAACAGG
rnacentral:rRNA from 1 species